rnacentral:tRNA from 1 species
GGGUGUGGUUCAAUGGUAGAAUAGGGGUCUCCAAAACCUUUGGUGAGGGUUCGAUUCCUUCCACCC